UACGGAGGGUGCGAGCGUUGUCCGGAAUCAUUGGGCGUAAAGAGCUCGUAGGCGGUCUGUCGCGUCUGCUGUGAAAACUCAGGGCUUAACCCUGAGCUUGCAGUGGGUACGGGCAGACUAGAGUGCGGUAGGGGAGACUGGAAUUCCUGGUGUAGCGGUGAAAUGCGCAGAUAUCGAGGAGGAACACCGGUGGGCGAAGGCGGGUCUCUGGGCCGUAAC
rnacentral:rRNA from 1 species